rnacentral:tRNA from 1 species
GCAUCGGUGGUUCAGUGGUAGUAGGUCGCCUGCCACGCUGGCGGUCCGGGUUCGAUUCCCGGCCGAUGCA